rnacentral:rRNA from 1 species
UACGUAGGUGACAAGCGUUGUUCGGAAUCAUUGGGCGUAAAGGGCGCGUAGGUGGUCGGGCAUGUCCGCUGUGAAAGCACACAGCUCAACUGUGUUCCGUCGGCGGAAACUGCUCGACUCGAGGCCGGAAGGGGCUGGUGGAAUUCCCUGUGUAGCGGUGAAAUGCGUAGAGAUGGGGGAGAACACUCGUGGCGAAGGCGGCCAGCUGGACCAGUCCUGACACUGAGGCGCGACAGCGUGGGGAGCAAACAGG